CAUCCCUACGCACUGCUCACCCUAGCUCAGCGACUCGGGAGCAUGGACUCGAACAAGGCGGCGGUGACAGCCACAGCACGUGUCUGGGCUUGCGAGACAGCCACGAUUAGGUGGGGAGCUCAUCAACUUGUUUGUAGAAUGAACAUGACUCAGAGUUCCUUCAGCCAUCUCCUGACAGAGUAUGCCUUCGGAAGUACAUGUCCUGUGAAGGAGAGGAUGCGCUCUGCCAGGCUGUGGGAUAAGCCUGACCUUCCUUCCCAGCUGCUCCUGCUGCCCUGUGCACCCUACACGGGAACAGCAGUGUCCCUCUGAAGUAGCAGGAGGAGUACAAAUCUGGACUUGCUUUUCAAACAGUCCUCACCUAUUUGCUAUGUCCCUUUUUCUGUGAAAUUUGUGAAUGGAAAUAAACGCAUGCUGACUA